AGUGAACGCUGGCGGUAGGCCUAACACAUGCAAGUCGAACGGCAGCACAGUAAGAGCUUGCUCUUACGGGUGGCGAGUGGCGGAUGGGUGAGGAAUACAUCGGCAUCUACUUUUUCGUGGGGGAUAACGUAGGGAAACUUACGCUAAUACCGCAUACGACCUACGGGUGAAAGCAGGGGAUCUUCGGACCUUGCGCGAUUGAAUGAGCCGAUGUCGGAUUAGCUAGUUGGCGGGGUAAAGGCCCACCAAGGCGACGAUCCGUAGCUGGUCUGAGAGGAUGAUCAGCCACACUGGAACUGAGACACGGUCCAGACUCCUACGGGAGGCAGCAGUGGGGAAUAUUGGGCAAUGGGCGCAGGCCUGAUCCAGCCAUACCGCGUGGGUGAAGAAGGCCUUCGGGUUGUAAAGCCCUUUUGUUGGGAAAGAAAAGCAGCAGGUUAAUACCCCGCUGUUCUGACGGUACCCAAAGAAUAAGCACCGGCUAACUUCGUG
rnacentral:rRNA from 1 species